CUCUCUCUCUCCCUUAUUUAUCCCAUUUUUUCUGCCUUGUAUCCCUAAUUUGGAACAUGAUACCCAUCGAACUCCUUCACUUCACCACUUCUUCACCUAAUCAAAAACCAAAACACACUAAAACCAAAACCAACAAGAAAGCUGAGAUUCCAGCACCGACCCAUUUCGUUGUCACCAAGGGAUGUACAUGAUGCAAAUGAGGAGUUGGUGGUGUUUUCCAAGGAGAAUAUAACAGAGCCAAUCGAUCGAAAAGAAUAUGGAUCAAAUGACGAUUGACCAGAGCCUGCAACUAGUAGUUACAAGUUUGGAGCUCACGGCUUGGAAGGUUUGGCAUGAGUUAGGUGGUUUUGCUUCCGCCGAUGAACAAAACAUGGUUUUUAGUUUUGUCAAUUUUCCAUCUUCGGCUUCAUGGAUACGUGGCAUUCGUAUGGCAUUUUCCAAUACAUUGGGAUUGUUGAUGUUUUAGGUUGGAUAUCAUUUCUAAACACACAAGAAAUUCGGCAACACGCGAAUCAUUUCCUAAUAUGCAUCUCUCACUCCUUCGUUCACCAUCUGCGCCCGAUGCUCUCCCUUUUUCGUCCACCAUUAAAGUCGUCGUGCAUCUGGCGUAUCCUCAACUCCGGUAAGCUUUUUGAUUCCCACCCGGAUAAACUAGCAACUAUAGUUUUAGGAUUUGAUUUUUAUUACUUACUUCCUCAUGUGAUUGUUAUCACAGUAGGCAAAGAAGUGAUUUUACAUGAAAUUUCCUUAAAGCACAAAUUUUUUUGCACACAAAUUGUUUGUUAAAAUGCUUAACUUACUUCAUUUCAUACAUCAUCUUUAAUUGUUCCAAUGGGUUUACCCCAUGGUUAGAUAGGAUAUAUUCUGUGAGUUUCGCUUUACCAAAAGGUCAUUUUGGUUAUUUACUUUGUUAAUUGUAUUUAUCAUUUAUAUCUGUAACAUUCCGUUUUAAAUAAAACAAUUAAAUGAUAAACCCGAAACCCUGAGAAGUAAUUUUUAUUAUUAUUUUAUAUUAUUAUUGUCCAAAUCAUAAUUCGUUGGGAGUUGGUUUCGGGAAGUCAAAUGUCAAGAUUUGAAUCUACAGGGGUUAAAGUGUAAUUUUGGGACUUAAUUUGUAAGGAUUUAUGGAAGCAGGGACUAAAGGGUAAGUUCCGGACCUAAGAUGAGAAGAUUUUGUAGAGGAGGGGCUGACUGGUAACAUUUUGGACUUGAUUUGGAAAGGUUCUAUAUUGGUGGGGCCAUUGGUUUCACUAUUCGAUUUUGUAUAACAUGUGGUGCUUUACUCUUCAACCGUCGUGGAAGAUAUGCGUUUUUUAUAUUUCUUGAUAGCUUCAAAGAUUGGGUUUAUGUGAAGGUGGUGGUGUUCAUUGCAAAUUUGAAAAAAAGAAGAACAUAGAUAUUCAUGUAAAACCAUGUUUCAUUUUUGUAAUUGGCAUGGGUUUUUAAGUCCCAGUUAUCAAUAAAAUUGCCACCAACACCACGGGUGGCCAUUUUCUA